rfam:Camelus ferus unplaced genomic scaffold scaffold7834, whole genome shotgun sequence.
GAGGGUAUAGCUCACUGGUAGAGUGUGCACUUAGCAUGCACAAGGUCCUGGGUUCAAUCCCCAGUAACUUCA